UACGUAGGUGGCGAGCGUUGUCCGGAUUUACUGGGCGUAAAGGGAGCGUAGGCGGACUUUUAAGUGAGAUGUGAAAUACUCGGGCUUAACCUGGGUGCUGCAUUCCAAACUGGAUAUCUAGAGUGCAGGAGAGGAAAGGAGAAUUCCUAGUGUAGCGGUGAAAUGCGUAGAGAUUAGGAAGAAUACCAGUGGCGAAGGCGCCUUUCUGGACUGUAACUGACACUGAGGCUCGAAAGCGUGGGGAGCAAACAGGAUUAGAUACCCCUGUAGU
rnacentral:rRNA from 1 species